rnacentral:rRNA from 1 species
UACGGGGGGGGCAAGCGUUGUUCGGAAUUACUGGGCGUAAAGGGCGCGUAGGCGGUUCGUUAAGUCCUGUGUGAAAUCCCCCGGCUCAACUGGGGAACUGCACAGGAAACUAGCGGGCUUGAGUUCGGGAGAGGGAAGCGGAAUUCCGGGUGUAGCGGUGAAAUUCGUAGAUAUCAGGAGGAACACCAGUGGCGAAGGCGGCUUCCUGGACACCAACUGACGCUGAGACGCGAAAGCGUGGGGAGCAAACAGG